AUGUAAGUCGCGACUUAUUUUGUCCCGUAUAAAUGGCCCUAAUGAGUGGAAGUUCAAUCAGAACGGCUUCUCUGAGUUCUCUCGAGUGCCAUUGCUAUUUUGAAUAGCUACCCCCUCCAGCUACACACAUAAAAACGCACAAGUUGUUACAGGUCUGCAAAAAAGUUGUUACAAGUCUGUGCAAGCUAUUAACAAGUGUCUUGCCUGCUUGUUCUCAGUUGUUGUAACAAGUUUGGAACAAGCUGUUAACAACUUGUAACAAGCUUGAUGGCACUAUCACACUUGCUACAAGGUUGUUCUAACAAGUCUGAUACAGUCAUGAUUUAAAAGAAUGUUACAAGGUUGACGACACAAGGUUGUAACAAUAUUGUUAUAUCAUGACUGCGAUCGGAUUUGUUGGAACAACAUUGCAACAAGUCUGAUAAUACAAACAAGGUUGAUGCAAGCUGUUAAUUAUUAACAGCUUGUUCCAAACUUGUUGUCAAUUUGGAACAAGCAGUGCGAAGACAAACCUGUGUCUUGUUGGCAGAUUUGCUACAAGAUGUGACAUUUUUGCGUGUGUUGUGUAAUAUUAUUCAAAACGGCAUUGACACUCAAGAGAAGCUCAGAUUAAACCUCCACUCAUUUGAGUGUGAGCUUUUAGAAUGCAAGCGUAAGAGUUUUUCAGUAUAAUUCAGUUUUUGAAUGCAAAGCUGGUUUGUAAUAAACGAUUUAUCUG